GCAGUCGAGCGGCAGCACGGGUACUUGUACCUGGUGGCGAGCGGCGGACGGGUGAGUAAUGCCUAGGAAUCUGCCUAGUAGUGGGGGAUAACGUCCGGAAACGGGCGCUAAUACCGCAUACGUCCUACGGGAGAAAGUGGGGGAUCUUCGGACCUCACGCUAUUAGAUGAGCCUAGGUCGGAUUAGCUAGUUGGUGAGGUAAUGGCUCACCAAGGCGACGAUCCGUAACUGGUCUGAGAGGAUGAUCAGUCACACUGGAACUGAGACACGGUCCAGACUCCUACGGGAGGCAGCAGUGGGGAAUAUUGGACAAUGGGCGAAAGCCUGAUCCAGCCAUGCCGCGUGUGUGAAGAAGGUCUUCGGAUUGUAAAGCACUUUAAGUUGGGAGGAAGGGCAGUUACCUAAUACGUGAUUGUUUUGACGUUACCGACAGAAUAAGCACCGGCUAACUCUGUGCCAGCAGCCGCGGUAAUACAGAGGGUGCAAGCGUUAAUCGGAAUUACUGGGCGUAAAGCGCGCGUAGGUGGUUUGUUAAGUUGGAUGUGAAAGCCCCGGGCUCAACCUGGGAACUGCAUCCAAAACUGGCAAGCUAGAGUAUGGUAGAGGGUGGUGGAAUUUCCUGUGUAGCGGUGAAAUGCGUAGAUAUAGGAAGGAACACCAGUGGCGAAGGCGACCACCUGGACUGAUACUGACACUGAGGUGCG
rnacentral:rRNA from 1 species